GAUGAAGAACGCAGCGAAAUGCGAUAAGUAAUGUGAAUUGCAGAAUUCAGUGAAUCAUCGAAUCUUUGAACGCACAUUGCGCCCCUUGGUAUUCCGAGGGGCAUGCCUGUUCGAGCGUCAUUAUAACCCCUCAAGCUCAGCUUGGUGUUGGGGCCUGCUGCACUGGCAGCCCUUAAAAUCAGUGGCGGCGCCAUCUGGCUCUAAGCGUAGUAAUUCUUCUCGCUAUGGAGUCCUGGUGGAUGCUUGCCAUCAACCCCCAAUUUUUCUAUGGUUGACCUCGGAGCAGGUAGGGAUACCCGCUGAACUUAAGCAUAUCAAUAAGCGGAGGA
rnacentral:misc_RNA from 1 species